UGGAGCAUGUGGUUUAAUUCGGUGCAACGCGAGAACCUUACCUGGGCUUGACAUCCACGGAACCUGCUGGAAACAGUGGGGUGCCCUUCGGGAGCCGUGAGACAGGUGCUGCAUGGCUGUCGUCAGCUCGUGUCGUGAGAUGUUGGGUUAAGUCCCGCAACGAGCGCAACCCUUGUCUUUAAUUGCCAUCAUUCAGUUGGGCACUUUAAAGAGACUGUCGGUGUUAAACCGGAGGAAGGUGGGGAUGACGUCAAGUCCUCAUGGACUUUAUGCCCAGGGCUACACACGUGCUACAAUGGGUGGUACAAAGAGCAGCGAGCUCGCGAGAGUGAGCGAAUCUCAAAAAGCCAUCCUCAGUUCGGAUUGCAGUCUGCAACCCGCCUGCAUGAAGUUGGAGUUGCUAGUAAACGCAGGUCAGCCAUACUGCGUUGAAUACGUUCCCGGGGCUU
rnacentral:rRNA from 1 species